GUACCUUCAAGCUCUGCUUGGUGUUGGGUGUUUGUCCCGCUUUUUGCGUGGACUCGCCUCAAAGCAAUUGGCAGCCGGCGUACUAGCCUGGAGCGCAGCACAUUUUGCGCCUCUUGACUUGAACGCUUGCGUCCAUUAAGCAUAUUUUUUAAC
rnacentral:misc_RNA from 1 species